UGUUGGGCCUCACGCAACGUGGCCUUGUGAACCCCGCCAGGUCCGGAAGGAAGCAACGGUAGCGAGUCGUCGCGGGUGCUGUGAGAUCCCCAACAAUU
rnacentral:SRP_RNA from 1 species